rnacentral:lncRNA from 1 species
CAAAGGUACACUUUUAAAUCUGUCUCUGAAAAAUGCAUUGGUUUUGAAUCCAAUUCACUCUACAACCCUUGCUUUUGGGAUCCAGGAGGAACCUUUCCAAAAAGGGUUUUUGGUUUGUUUUUUUUGUUUUGCCUUCAUGGAGUGACCUGAGCCAAGAUGGAUGCAGCAAAUGUCAAGGUGCUAGGAUGGUAGAGCCACAAGGCAGAAGGAUCAUGGGUCCCUUAGUCAUCACAAGGAGACAAGUAACCAUGGGCAUUCAUCUGUUAUGGCUUCAACAUGAGAACCUGGGGUGGAGGACACAAACAUUUGGUUCAUAACAUCUGACAUGGCUUUCUUGAGACCAGAACCAGCUCAUGAAAAGAGUCCAAUCAGAUGAAAAUGCUAAAGCUUGGAGAGUUUGAACCCCUUGCCUGAGGUCCUCAAGUGGUGGAGCUGGAAUUCAAACCGCAGGCAUCCAACUCCAGAGUCCUCAGUCAUAACUGAUCUGUGAUAUUGACUCUAUUCUAAUAAACAACUUUAACAAAAUCUGUGAUAUUGACUCUCUUCUAAUAAACAACUUUAACUUUAUUCAUCUUAAUUACUGAAAAAAUAAUCACCAAACAUAGUACUCUAU